GACGAACGCUGGCGGCGUGCUUAACACAUGCAAGUCGAACGGGAAUUACUAAACGGAGGCCCCGGAGGAAGAUUACUAAGGAGAGUGCCGAACUGGUCUGUAACGCAUUAGCAAACUGCCUAAGACAGCUGGAUAGCCUCCUGAAUCUGGGAUUAAUAUCGCAUGAAAUCGUAGAAACACACGUUUCAUCGUUCAAAGAUUUACCGGCCAUAGAUGGGCUCGCGACUGAUUAGCUAGCUGGUGAGAUAACAGCACGCCAAGGCGACGAUCAGUACCCGGUCGGAGAGGAUUCACGGACACAUUGGAACUGGGACACGGUCCAAACUGCUACGGGAGGCAGCAGUGGGGAAUAUUGCACAAUGAGGCAAACGCUGAUGCAGCGACGGCGGGUGAACGAAGAAGGGAUUCGUAUCGUAAAGUUCUGUGCUAUGGGAAGAUUAUGACAGUACCAGAAAAAAAAGCACCGGCUAAAUACGUG
rnacentral:rRNA from 1 species